UUGUAGCAUACAAGGCAUACGGCUCAGUAACGCGUAGUCAACCUAACCUAUGGACGGGAAUAACCUCGGGAAACUGAGAAUAAUGCCCGAUAGAACACUAUACCUGGAAUGGUUUGUGUUCCAAAUGAUUUAUCGCCAUAGGAUGGGACUGCGGCCUAUCAGUUUGUUGGUGAGGUAAUGGCCCACCAAGACUAUUACAGGUACGGGCUCUGAGAGGAGUAGCCCGGAGAUGGGUACUGAGACACGGACCCAGGCCCUAUGGGGCGCAGCAGGCGAGAAAACUUUGCAAUGUGCGAAAGCGCGACAAGGUUAAUCCGAGUGAUUUGUGCUAAACGAAUCUUUUGUUAGUCCUAGAAACACUAACGAAUAAGGGGUGGGCAAGUUCUGGUGUCAGCCGCCGCGGUAAAACCAGCACCUCAAGUGGUCAGGAUGAUUAUUGGGCCUAAAGCAUCCGUAGCCGGCUCUGUAAGUUUUCGGUUAAAUCUGUACGCUUAACGUACAGGCUGCCGGGAAUACUGCAGAGCUAGGGAGUGGGAGAGGUAGACGGUACUCGGUAGGAAGUGGUAAAAUGCUUUGAUCUAUCGAUGACCACCUGUGGCGAAAGCGGUCUACCAGAACACGUCCGACGGUGAGGGAUGAAAGCUGGGGGAGCAACCGGAUUAGAUACCUGGGUAGUCCAGCUGUAACUAUGCAACUCAGUGAUGCAGUGGCCUGUGUCCAAUGCAGUGCUGCAG
rnacentral:rRNA from 1 species